GCCCCGGUCGUCUAGCCCGGUCAGAGGAUAUCGGCCUUUCGAGCCGAGGAUCCCGGGUUCAAAUCCCGGCCGGGGCACCA
rnacentral:tRNA from 1 species